UACGUAGGCAGCAAGCGUUGUUCGGAGUUACUGGGCGUAAAGGGUGUGUAGGCGGUUGUUUAAGUUUGGUGUGAAAUCUCCCGGCUCAACUGGGAGGGUGCGCCGAAUACUGAAUGACUCGAGUGCGGGAGAGGAGAGUGGAAUUCCUGGUGUAGCGGUGAAAUGCGUAGAUAUCAGGAGGAACACCGGUGGUGUAGACGGCUCUCUGGACCGUAACUGACGCUGAGACACGAAAGCGUGGGUAGCAAACAGGAUUAGAUACCCUGGUAGUCCACGCCCUAAACGAUGCAUAUUUGGUGUGGGCAGUUCAUUCUGUCCGUGCCGGAGCUAACGCGUUAAAUAUGCCGCCUGGGGAGUACAGUCGCAAGGCUGAAACUCAAAGGAAUUGACGGGGGCCCGCACAAGCGGUGGAGCAUGUGGUUCAAUUCGACGCAACGCGAAGAACCUUACCUGGGCUCGAACGGCUGGUCAACGGAGGUGGAAACAUCUUUACCCCGCAAGGGGGUCCAGUCGAGGUGCUGCAUGGCUGUCGUCAGCUCGUGUCGUGAGAUGUUGGGUUAAGUCCCGCAACGAGCGCAACCCUUGUCCUGUGUUGCCAUGCCGAAAGGCGGAACUCGCAGGAGACCGCCAGCGAUAAGCUGGAGGAAGGUGGGGAUGACGUCAAGUCCUCAUGGCCUUUAUGUCCAGGGCUACACACGUGCUACAAUGGACGGUACAAACCGCCGCGAACCCGCGAGGGGGAGCCAAUCGGAAAAAACCGUUCUCAGUUCGGAUUGCAGGCUGCAACUCGCCUGCAUGAAGCUGGAAUCGCUAGUAAUGGCAGAUCAGCACGCUGCCGUGAAUACGUUCCCGGGCCU
rnacentral:rRNA from 1 species